rnacentral:tRNA from 1 species
GCUGGAUUAGCUCAGUCGGUAGAGCACCUGUUUUGUAAUCAGGGUGUCAGCGGUUCAAGUCCGCUAUCCAGCUCCA